AUGGCGUACUCCUCCUGUUUGAAUCAGAGUUUGAAACCAAACAAACUUCUCCUCAGGAGGAUAGAUGGGGCGAUUCAGGUGAGAUCCCAUGUAGAUUUAACUUUCUAUUCACUUGUGGGAUCCGGGCAGUCCGGGGGGGGGAGGGGGGGCAGCACGGUUGAGGUUCGUUCUCAAUGGGAAAAUGGAGCACCUAACAAUGCAUCUUCACAGACCAAAAACUACGAGAUCACCCCUUUCAUUCUGGGGUGA
rnacentral:rRNA from 1 species